GUUACUUUUGGUAUCUGAUUGUCAUUAUCAUAUUUCCUAUUAUAAAAGCCAAGGUACAAGAUCAGACACAUAUGAAUACAAUAAUACUCUCAAAACCCAAAACAAAAACCAUCCUAGACUCUCCAGUCAUGUCACAUAAUAUCACAAUUCACAGAAGGAAGCAGAAAAUUAGAAUAUGUACCAAGGCUGGUCUAAAAACUUGACUGUGAUUUAUUUCUACGAAUAGGAAUCCCUAACAGAUAUGAGUUAUGGUUAUAUAAGCAGGAGAACAGAUAUCAUGAAAUCUUUCUUUCUUGUUUUAAAUGAUUUGUGUGUUUCCUACCCUAUUUAAAUCUAACAGAACAAAGCAAUUUAGUCUUCACAGUCAACUACGAAUUUAAAGAAUCUUUAAAGCUACUGAAAUGUUUACUAGUCCAUUGUAUUUAUUUAUUUAUUUAUUUGUCUUGUCUUUUUACCCAGGCUAGGGGUCUAAUCAGAGCUCAGCUGCCAGCCUACACCACAGCCACAGCAAUGCCAGACCCGAGUCAUGUCUGCGGCCUACACCACAGCUCCUGGCAAGGCCGGAUCCUUAACCUACUGAGUGAGGCCAGGGAUCGAACCCACAACCUCAUGGUUCCCAGUCGGAUUCGUUUCCACUGUGCCACAACGGGAAGUCCAAGAGAACAUCCAGCAUAAGACACAGCUCAGGACCAAGAAUUAUUCCUCUUCCAAUGUCCCCAACCCAAAUAGCAUUUCUUUGCUACGUAGGUGCCUCAGACUUAACCUUCUAAAAUCAAACUCUUUAUUGCUGCCUUUCCCUAAACUCAUGAUACCACCAAAUAAUGACUAACCAAACUCACCCAAAUUCUGAAUUUAUCUUCCUUUUUUUUUUUUUUAUUGGAAAACAACAUCCUGAUAUAUCUAGAAGCCUAAGCCAGAUGCAUCAGUUUACAGUAGCACGAGCUAGAGAAGGCCUGGUAUCCCACAGAGAAGAUGGUCACAGAGGAAGGGAAUCAUGAUUGCAGGGAAGACAUGCACAAACCUCCAUCUCCACUGGGACUUUGGCUGUGAUAAAAUACAUAUGCAAGCAAAGAAAAGAUAAAUAAAUACCCUUCAGAGGAUGAGAGGAAGAGCUUUACACUUUUACUCAAAAAGUUUUUAAUGUUACUAUUACAAAGAGCUUUUAAUUAAAAAUACAGGAAGAUUAGGACUGCAGUGCAUUCUAGAUGACUAAAACAAAAGGUUUAGCGGACAUUUUGAUAUAAUGGAACGACCCCCAAGUCUAAGUAAUGGGUUUGCAACUUGGUUCCAUGUAUUACUAGCUAUGUGACUUCCACAAGUUAUUUGAUGUCUCUCCAACUCCUUCAGUUUCUUUAAUCUGUAAAACUGGUAUCACAAUACAGCACCUACUCUAUAAAAUUAAAUGCCAUCAUUGGUGUGAAGCACUGAACAGAAAGUAUAGUACAAAGAGUGUGGAUGCAUGAUAAAGGGCACAUGAUGUUCCUAUGAUCACCAUGGUUAUCAGUACCUCUGCUUCCAGCUGGCAGCAGCAGCAGCAUCCUAUGUGAGUAAAUAGGAUCGGAAGAAAAAAAAAUUGUAAGUCUCCUAUCCUUCAGUUGAAGCUCAAGCACGCUAUUCAGUGGAUCGUGUUGGCUUUCCUUUGUAACUUUUCUUUGCUUAUCAAUCUUGUUUUCUCCCUCCUUUUAUCUUUACUCAUGGCCCCAGGGCCAAAAUAUGCCUUUUUCUCCAUACUUAUAUUGAGAGAUCUUUGAAGACACAAAAAACCAGAGAUAUUUGUUGAAGGGAUAACACAGUUAUCAUCUGAUCUAGGCAUAGUCAGUCCUGGCUUAAGGAUAGGAAAUGUUUCCUCCAUUUCAAUUGAAAUUAAUAGGACCCCAAAUGUCACAUGUACAUUGCAUGUGUAAUAGAUGUCUGAAUUCAACAUGAAAAUUAAAUAUACAAAUGGAUAGGACUACAACCUAGAGAGUUUUCCCGAGCAAGGUGGAGGUAGGAGUAGAGAUUUGCUAAUUCUUGACAUAGAUGGAUUUUAUCUGAAUUAUAAAAGUAUUAUUGAAUUAUGAAUAUAUAGUGUCUAGAGAGACUGGAUAUUGUUUCAAUGUAAAAUGGGUUUCAAAUCCUAGAAGAUAUAAAUAAUAUUACUUUUUAAAAUGAAAUGGAGCAGUGAGGAUAAUCAAAGACAUACAUAAAUUUAAGAGCAUCAUGUAUUUAUCAGUGAUGUUUUAAAAGCCAAAAUAAAUCUCAACAAAUCGCAGCAAUGGAGAAAAAAAAAAAAGAAGAAAUCCAAAGAAGCAUGUCUACUAAACACACCUUGGGUGUCAAACAUUAUGCUUGAUAUAUAUUCAUUUAUUCUUUUUUUUUUUUCCUUUUACAGCCUCACCUGCAGCAUAUGGCCACACCAGAUCCUAAACUUACUGAGCGAGGCCAGCCAUCAAACCCUCAUCCUCACAGAGACAUCAGGUCCUUAAUUCACUGAGCCACACCUGGAAUUCCCAUAUUCAUGUAUUCUUAAAUCAAUCCCAGAAAUUCAUCCCCACCUGCUAUUCCAGGUUUAGAUUAAGUAAUACAUGCAAAUUAAUAUGAUUUGGGGGCCAGAGUAAAUACUCCAAACUUCCAGGUGCAAUUAUUUUUUAAUCAAUGCUAUUUUUCUGUAUAGAAAUGAGACUAUCUCACAAUGGUAAGGCCACAGAAAUGACUCUGGAUUGGAAUGAAAAGUCUGUCUUUCCCUUAGGCAAAAAUUUUCCUAAUGUAAAACUGUUUUGAGUGUUCUCACCUCAGUUUUUCCAAAUCAUCCUAAUUAGAAGAUACAAUAAAUUUCACAAAAUUAAGCCUACGACAUAAUGCGAAACA
rnacentral:lncRNA from 1 species